UUACGCAGGCUGUUAGGGGCUCUUAGAAUUUUAAUAAUAUCUGGCAACGCUGGUACAGGGACGUACCAGCGAGGUGCAGAGGAACAUGGAUGUGACUUUGCACCGUUUGCCAUAUAUAAAAGAAUUAUUUCAAAAUUCUUAGAGCCCCUUGCAGCCGGAGUGG
rfam:Roseburia sp. CAG:45 genomic scaffold, scf88